CUGAUGCAGCGACGCCGCGUGAGGGAUGACGGCCUUCGGGUUGUAAACCUCUUUCAGCAGGGACGAAGCGCAAGUGACGGUACCUGCAGAAGAAGCACCGGCUAACUACGUGCCAGCAGCCGCGGUAAUACGUAGGGUGCAAGCGUUGUCCGGAAUUACUGGGCGUAAAGAGUUCGUAGGCGGUUUGUCGCGUCGUUUGUGAAAACCAGCAGCUCAACUGCUGGCUUGCAGGCGAUACGGGCAGACUUGAGUACUGCAGGGGAGACUGGAAUUCCUGGUGUAGCGGUGAAAUGCGCAGAUAUCAGGAGGAACACCGGUGGCGAAGGCGGGUCUCUGGGCAGUAACUGACGCUGAGGAACGAAAGCGUGGGUAGCGAACAGGAUUAGAUACCCUGGUAGUCCACGCCGUAAACGGUGGGCGCUAGGUGUGGGUUCCUUCCACGGAAUCCGUGCCGUAGCUAACGCAUUAAGCGCCC
rnacentral:rRNA from 1 species